UACGAAGGGGGCUAGCGUUGCUCGGAAUCACGUGGCGUAAAGGGUGCGUAGGCGGGUCUUUAAGUCAGAGGUGAAAUCCUGGAGCUCAACUCCAGAACUGCCUUUGAUACUGAAGAUCUUGAGUCCGGGAGAGGUGAGUGGAACUCCGAGUGUAGAGGUGAAAUUCGUAGAUAUUCGGAAGAACACCAGUGGCGAAGGCGGCUCACUGGCCCGGUACUGACGCUGAGGUGCGAAAGCGUGGGGAGCAAACAGG
rnacentral:rRNA from 1 species